GGGACACCGUCUGACUUCUUUAACUGCACCCUCCGAAGCAGAGACACCUGUUUCAGGGACAGCUACUGAGUAGAUGGUCCGUAAGUACUUGUUCGGUGAAUUAACAACCUUGCGAGGCAAGUCUUGUCAUUAUCCUCACUGUACAAACUAAGAUGCGGAGAGUUUGGAGGAGUCUCAUCACGGGCCUGCUGACACAUCCAGGCGUGGUGGGGCCAGUCCCCUACAGGUCCUGUGCUCCGGACAAGUGAUCUCUGUUUCUUCUACUGCACGUGAUGUCGGGGUGCUGUACCUGCAAGUGUCCCCUGCCCCCGGGGGUUCAUAGUUGUUACCUCUGGGAAAUCAAAAUAACUGGGAUUGGAUGUUUCUAUUUUUUCUUAUAGGACAUGAACAUUUUUAUACUGCCAGUCACAGCUAAUCCUUCUACUUUCUUUUUCAAAAAUCCUUUCCAGUUUGAGCAAUUUGCCCUGCUUGUGACCUGGAACAAAGAUGUGGAGACUCCCAAGCAAUCACGGACGUGGGGCUGCUUCUCUGCUGGAUGGCAACGUCUUCAAACACCCACCAGGUGGUGCAGCAGUCGGGUGCAAGCCUGCAGCCAGAGCCUCACCGCAUGGCGGCUGAUGACGCUCGCACACUUCAGCGUCUCUUCUCUCGUGGAUGUCACCAACAGGGUGAAGGGCGAGGGUGUGAGGUCCACAAACAGAUACCUGGACAUGAAUCCCAGCUCCACUCGCCGAUGCUACCGACUCUGUGAAAAUGACUUAAUCCACUACUUUCUACACUGUCCACCUGCGAAAAGUGGGAAAUCAGGGUCUACCUCAACAAUCUGGGGAGUUAAAGGCACCACCCAUGGAGAGUGGCACAGUGCCCGGCACACAGUGAGCGCUUGGUAG
rnacentral:lncRNA from 1 species